UACGAAGGGGGCUAGCGUUGUUCGGAAUUAUUGGGCGUAAAGCGCGUGUAGGCGGCUUUGCAAGUCGGGUGUGAAAGCCCUCGGCUCAACCGAGGAAGUGCGCCCGAAACUGCAGAGCUUGAGUACCGGAGAGGAUGGCGGAAUUCCCCAAGUAGAGGUGAAAUUCGUAGAUAUGGGGAGGAACACCGGUGGCGAAGGCGGCCAUCUGGACGGAUACUGACGCUGAGACGCGAAAGCGUGGGUAGCAAACAGG
rnacentral:rRNA from 1 species